AAGUAGAACGCUGAAGGAGGAGCUUGCUUCUCCGGAUGAGUUGCGAACGGGUGAGUAACGCGUAGGUAACCUGCCUGGUAGCGGGGGAUAACUAUUGGAAACGAUAGCUAAUACCGCAUAAGAGUAGAUGUUGCAUGACAUUUGCUUAAAAGGUGCAAUUGCAUCACUACCAGAUGGACCUGCGUUGUAUUAGCUAGUUGGUGGGGUAACGGCUCACCAAGGCGACGAUACAUAGCCGACCUGAGAGGGUGAUCGGCCACACUGGGACUGAGACACGGCCCAGACUCCUACGGGAGGCAGCAGUAGGGAAUCUUCGGCAAUGGACGGAAGCCUGACCGAGCAACGCCGCGUGAGUGAAGAAGGUUUUCGGAUCGUAAAGCUCUGUUGUAAGAGAAGAACGAGUGUGAGAGUGGAAAGUUCACACUGUGACGGUAUCUUACCAGAAAGGGACGGCUAACUACGUGCCAGCAGCCGCGGUAAUACGUAGGUCCCGAGCGUUGUCCGGAUUUAUUGGGCGUAAAGCGAGCGCAGGCGGUUAGAUAAGUCUGAAGUUAAAGGCUGUGGCUUAACCAUAGUACGCUUUGGAAACUGUUUAACUUGAGUGCAAGAGGGGAGAGUGGAAUUCCAUGUGUAGCGGUGAAAUGCGUAGAUAUAUGGAGGAACACCGGUGGCGAAAGCGGCUCUCUGGCUUG
rnacentral:rRNA from 1 species